CCGAACGCCUCCCUAGGGAGGUGUUUAGAGCACGUCCAACCGGCAGGAGGCCACGGGGAAGACCCAGGACACGUUGUGAAGACUAUGUCUCCCGGCUGGCCUGGGAACGCUUCGGGAUCCCACGGGAAGAGCUGGACAAAAUGGCUGGGGAGAGGGAAGUCUAGGCUUUCCUACUUAGGCUGCUGCUCCCGCAACCCGACCUCGGCUAAGCGGAAGAAGAUGGAUGGAUGGAUAACAAUAAUAUAAUAAUUAGUAGUAGCAUUAUCAUGAUUAUUUUAAUUUGUAUUCAUUUACCUGCCAUGUAUGGUCAGCGAGUAUUAAUACAAAAGUUAUAUUUCAGCUGUAGUUCCAUCUUGCUUGCACAGACGGAGAAUGAUCUACAGAGGGCAACACCGAGCGGUCAAUUGUCAAAAUGAAGGAGAAGAAGAAGCUGCAUGCGGGAAUUAAACCGACGAAGAAGAAUUCAACGGUUCCCGGUAGUCGAGCCUCGUCAGGUCUUCUCUUAGCUUCCUUCUGCUUUCUUUUGGGCUGAGAGUGAAUCACUGGCCCAGAGAGUUUAUCUUCAAUUCAAUGACUUAACCCAGCUAACACGCCGACAUGUUUCACCAACAUUAGUUGCUUGUUGGCGGCAAGCUCCGUCAAGAUUUACCGCUGUAAGCUAAGACUCAGAGGAAUGGAGGAGGGCUCGGAGGUGAUGGAAGAUAUUGUUUUCCGAGGAGUGGAGUUUGUGGUGAAGGUGGAGGUGGAUAAAGGCUUGCUGCUGGUGGAAAUCUCAGAUUCAACAACGGCCGAUCAGUGGAAGGGAGAAUUCGAUCCGGCAUACAUAGAGGAUCUCACGCGGAAAACCGGCAACUACAAACAGUUCCCCAUUUUUUGUAGCAUGUUGGAGUCGGCCGUCAGAAAGACAACCGAUUCUGUUACCCUGGACCUCUUGACCUACGCUGACCUGGAGUUGCUAAGAAACAGAAAAGCAGGUGUGCUCGGUCGCCCUCGAGGCCAUCCGCAGUCAUCUACUCUCACCGCCAAACGCUAUCUCAUUCUCAUCUACACUGUCGAGUUUGACAGGAUACACUACCCUUUGCCACUACCCUACGUUGGCAAGCCGGACCCAGCCGCCCUGCAGAAGGAAAUUAGGACCUUAAGGGCGGAGCUUAGCACUCUGACCUCUCAAGGCGUAAACAAAUGUGCAGAGCUGGAAAUCCACCGCUUACGAGCAGAGCUGGCUCUAAUGAAGGAGGAGAAACAGUCCAUGGCCAAAGUCCUGGAGCGUUUACAGCUGUGCGGAAGUGCUUCCGCAACCGACGCUAGGCAGGACUGGAGGACCAGAGAUGCGGUGAGGACGCUGGGGGAGCAGCUGCUCAAAGAGAGAGCCAAAAGUCAGCGGUCGGCUAGCAAGAGAUGCCAUGAGCAGCGCCACCUUAUUGAGCAGCUAGAGGAGCUAAAGGCAUCUGAGUGCAGCCUGCGACUUCACGUCAAAAGUCUCACCAAUGAACUGGCUCUUCUGCGGAGAAGCAGAGGGACGCAGCUUUCUGGCGGCGGGAACAUUUAUCGCUCACUCAACCAAGUCAGGGGUCGCUCCGGAUCCAGCGAGCACAGAGGGGACAGAGUGCAGAGGUCGACUGAAAGAGGGAGAAGGGCCGAUUCCACGGGGCCACGUGCUGUCAUAAGAAGGCCGUCACCUUCUCCUCCUGGGUCCCGAGGGCCUCGCUUUGACCCAACCGCUUACAUCCAAGACAGACAGCGUCGACUGAGAGAAACAGAAAUCAAAAAACAGAUGAAGGUGCGGCGAGACCUGACCGUGUCGCCGCUGAUGUCCGAGCGAGGGCGAUCCCGCUCCAGAGAAGGUUGCCCACUGAUGCGGCGCCCCGGCAGCCGCGGCAGGAGUUUGUCUAUGGAGCGGCGAGCGAGCAGGAACUCCUCGGAUGGCUCAUUGGUGGAUGUGGAGGAAAUGACCAAGCCUCUGUUCAGGGGGAAGAAACAGACGUUUAAUGGACAAAGUGUGUCAAGAGGCGGCAUGAUGACCAAAAAGCCCAAAAGCAGCACUCCAACGUACAGAAUGAAGGACAAAGAUGUUAUGCUCCGCCACUCAGAGAGCUCCAUUGACAUGGGCGCUGAGAAUUCAGAUAUUGACGCGAGGCUUGAAGCCCUGGAGGAGUUCAUGGGGGACUUGGACACAGGACACUGACAGAUGGUGCAACCUGCGGUCGAAAGCAAAUGUGCAGCAUGGACUCGGCAAGACGUAAACAGCUUUUAUUUGUUUUUCUUCUGCAUGGACCACAAAGCUCCAACUUCAGGAAACAGCCAUCACUAGGACACCACAUCCACAGUUUCCAAAUAUAAUUUGAAAUGUGGACCCGUCAGACCACAGAACACUUAUCCGCUUUGCAUCAGUCCAUCUUAGAUGAGCUUGGGCCCAGCGAAACCAGCGGCGUUCCUCUGUGUUGUUGAUAAAUAGGUUUGGCUUUGUAUAGUAGAGUUUUAACUUGCACUUACAGAUUUAGCGACCAACUGUAGUUACUGACAGUGGUUUUAUGAAGUGUUCCUGAGCCCGUGUGGUGAUAUCCUUUACACACUUGUCGGUUUUGGAUGCAGUACCCGCCUGAGGGAUCAAAGGUCCGUAAUAUCCUCGUUUACGUGCAGUGAUUUCUCCAGAUUCUCUGACCCUUUUGAUGAUUUUAUGGACCGUAGAUGGUAAAAUCUCUAAAUUCCUUGCAACAACUGGUUGAGAAAUGUUGUUCUAAAACUGUUCGACAAUUUGCCUACAAAUUGGUGACCCUCGCUCCAUCCUUGUUUGUGAAUUACUUAACAUUUCAUGGAAGCUGCUUUUAUACCCAAUCAUGGCACCCACUUGUUCCCAAUUAGCCUGCACACCUGUGGGAUGUUCCAAAUAAGUGUUUGAUGAGCAUUCCUGAACUUUAUCAGUAUUUAUUGCCACCUUUCCCACCUUCUUUGUCACGAGUUGCUGACAUCAAAUUCUAAAGUUAAUGAUUAUUUGCAAAAAUAAAGAUCAGUUUAAACAUCAAAUAUGUUGUUUUUGUAGCAUAUUCAACUGAAUAUGGGUUAAAUGAUUUGCAAAUCAUUGUAUUCGGUUUAUAUUUACAUCUAACACAAAUUCCCAACUCAUAUGCAAACGGGGUUUGUACAAAUAUACAUACAUACAUAUAUAUAUAUACAUAUAUAUAUAUAUACAUACAUACAUACAUAUAUAUAUACAUACAUACAUAUAUAUUUAUAUGUGUGUAUAUAUAUAUAUAUAUAUAUAUAUAUAUAUAUACUGACUGACAGCAUCAGCACCAUGGAAUGUUGCUCUUCAUUGUACAAAUUUUACCUUUUAUCAGUGUUAAACUGCAAUAAAUAUUUGUAUUUACAUUUUCUCUGUGCCACUCUUUUUGGAAAUAUCUUUACAUAUGGUACACAUUGGGGUUGUUUUGCAUUUUUGACACUUUAAUUGCAAUACAUAGUUUUAUUAUUUUCAGGAUAUUUAAAGGAAAAACCUUUCUGCAGCUGCUCCAGUAACAUUACAAAAAAAUAUUACAAAAGAUUAAAAAAAUAAAGAAAAUUGCAAGAUGUAAAAAUCCAGUGGUAUGGCACUGAGAAAGAAUCACUUAAUGUUUAUCAAAGAACAUGCCUUUAAUAUUUACUUUUUGUAGAGAAAUGGUAAAAUCUUCAGAGUACUUACAAAAUAUUAAUAGCAUGAAGGAAGGAUUAAGAAAUACGAACAAAGUGUUCAAAACCACACCAGUUGGCGUUAAAGUGCUGACUGCGUAGACGCUGGAGUGUGCAACCGUCUUUCAUGAUCAAACAAAUGUGCUUCACUGCUUCGAUGAUGUCGUGGGCAGGAUGUUAACGGGCGCCCCCUGCUGCGUCUUUUCAUUCCUCCUGUGUUUUAGGAUGGCCUGGAUGUACUGAGUCAG